rnacentral:lncRNA from 1 species
AACCCUAAGAAGCCGAACAAGAUGGGAAAGAAACAUCAAGACCACUGGUUACUUGUUUUAUCCACUGCUCAUUGGGUUGAACUAGGAAGAACCUAGACUGAACCCUCAUUGACAAAUAAUAGAAAACAUGUCUUCAGAAAGGAAAAAAGCAGCUGUCCCAAAGCAAUAUGAAAGUGGCUCUGUGUAACGUGAAUGCUGGACACAGAGCAGAUUACCAGCUACAGGAGCCAUGCCAGUAACACCUGUCUCAUCUGGAGACUCACUUCAGGGCACAUUCCCUACUUAAAACUGCAGACUUCUUGCCAUUCCCCAGACACAGCCUCUUGAACUAGCAAGUGCCAGACUCAAGAAGUGCCCUCAGAGUGACUCCUAGCACAUAGAUUUUUCAACCACUCCAUGGAAUAUUAAGACUACAAGAUGGGAAGAGUCCAAGUUAUAUAAGAAACUGAGUUUGUAGCCUUGAUGAUACAUUAUACACAGUCCAGAUUCAGUGUUCUUGCACCCUGUUUCCUAUCCACAAAUGCUUGUUCUGUCAAAUUCAAAGUAAAUAUCUUUUUUUUUCCAGACAAGCUUGAAGGAGUUUCUGUUUUUGAAAUCAAUAUUUCUCUGUCUAACACACUAAGGUAUUAUUCAGUCUUGACAAGCAAAGAAAUGCUGGCAUAUGGCGCACUGUGAAUGAACCUUGAGGAUAUUCUGCUAACUGAAAUAAGCCAGCCACCAAAAUUUCAAAUGCUGCACAACUCCAUGUUACAGGAAAUAAGAAGAAGAGCCAAAACUAUGGUGAUAAAAGGACUAACUGUGAUGUGUCAGGGGCUGAGAGGAUGAAGAGUGGAGUUGCUGUGUAUUCAGUGUUGUUGGGUGCGAAGUGGUGGAGAUGCACUGUAGUAGUGAUGACACAACAGGAAUCAUUUAAUUCUGCUCAACGAGAGCCUUAAAAUUGUUAAGGUGGCUGUAGGUAUGAGGUCAUUAAUACAUAAAAUGAUACGCGUAUUUGUUUUAUCCACUGAAAAUAAAAAUAAAUGGUUAACAUGACAA